rnacentral:rRNA from 1 species
UACGAAGGGGGCUAGCGUUGUUCGGAAUUACUGGGCGUAAAGCGUAUGCAGGCGGAUCGUUAAGUCGGGGGUGAAAUCCCGAGGCUCAACCUCGGAACUGCCUUCGAUACUGGCGAUCUUCGAGUCCGGGAGAGGUGAGUGGAACUCCGAGUGUAGAGGCGAAAUUCGUAGAUAUUCGGAAGAACACCAGUGGCGAAGGCGGCUCACUGGCCCGGUACUGACGCUGAGAUACGAAAGCGUGGGGAGCAAACAGG